rnacentral:lncRNA from 1 species
GCUGGUAAUCGGUCCGGUUCGGUUAUAAUCGAACCGGUUUACCGGUUAAUCGAAAUCGAUUAACUACGAAAUUGGUAACCGAAAAUCGAACCAAUUUUCAAUUUGGUUAACCGAUUAACCGAUCGAACCGGUUAAUCGGUUAACCGAAUUAACCGGUUGAAUUGGAGGGGAGAGCUGAUCGAACAGAAAUCACAAAAAUCUGAGGCAGAUUAGAAUGAAACCAAUAUCAAAAUGCGAAGAGGAAUCCCAAAUAAUUGUUCACAAAAAUCCCAUUGCAUCAAUCAAUUAAAAUUCAUGUCAAUAGUGCAACAAGGCAAAAGCCACACAAUUAGUACAAACUAAAAGCUUAAUCUUUUCACUAGAAGGUUUAGUAAAAUUAAAGAAAAAUAUAAGAACAAAUUCAAGAUUCAAAUAACAUGCAUCAAAGCUGACGAAAAAUUAUAAGUUAGCCUUAGGCCUGGUGAUUGCUGUCUCGAUUGAGUAAUUUGGGGCCAAGGGGUGUGAGAAUCAUGGCGGCGAUGGCUGAUGGACUGCUGCGGAGAAGGAGGCGGUGAUUCUCGCCGUUCGCCGAGAGAAGGGGCUGUUCACGGCGAGGGUAGAAGCAGGAGAAAUUAGGAAUUUGAUUUAGGGAGAGGGGUUUUCUGAAAUUGGAUGAAUUUUGGGGUUUUUGGUGUUUUGACUUUUGAGUCAGGGUAAGAGGAGAAGGAGCCGACGCCGGGACUGAGAAGUGGCGGAGCAGCGGCGGUCGUCGUUGCAUGUCCUACGGCGAGGAGACAGAGAGGGAGAGAGGCAGUUGGCGUGAGAGAUAAGGAAAGAAAGAGAGAGAGAAGUAGAGAGGGGGUGAGAGGCGAGACGCCGGCGGCAAAUUCGCCGGAAAUGGGGGUUGCAGGCGGCUGAGAAAAGAAGAAGAAGAAGGGGAGAGAGAUUUGGGGGAAAUGGCCGGAGGGGAAGGCGAGAGAUAGGGGAACUGGCAGAUGUUUGGAUUCCCAAAAUAUGAAAUUGGGGGAAAUCGCUGGG